UUCUCCUGGCCCAUUCCAAGCCUCUAACUAGGCUACCACGUCCCUCUUCCAGUCUCCACUCUCCAUUCUAGGAGAGAGAGAUUCUCGGUUCAUACAGUUGGGGAAAUUUAGCUCCAAUGGCUCAGAUUCAGAGCCUAGACAAUGCUUCUCUCACUAUCACAUCCCUGAGGUUCUAACAACCUAAUUUAACUAUUUUAUUUUGCUCAGCAGUUGUUUUUUGUUUUUGAAAAGAUCUAUUAUCGUCCGCUAUAAUUUUCUUUGGAUCAUCUACCGGGAGAAGUCCCAGAAGGAGCUCAUAAACAUCCUCAAGAAUGUGACUCUACUCACUCAAUGAUUUCACUGUUUGGUUCCCGAGAAAAAACGUAGAAAAGAAAAUAGCCAUGAGAAACCGUGGCUGUUUUCUUCCCGUGGCUAUUUUCAGUUCAGUAGAAUUCAUGUUUUACCGGCCAUCAACGGUUGAGAUAUAUCAGAUUUACAGGGCUUGAAUUUGUUAGAAUGAUCUUAAAUGUGAUUUAUACUUAUUUAUUUUGUUUCGUAGUGGUUUACAGAUUCGAGGGAAGAAAUGCUUGAUAAUCUAUCCCCAGCUCAGGAGCUCUUCAUGGCUUGUCCCUUCCUAGAUCCUAAUUUUCAAUCGCAAGAAGCUGAUUCAGAUGCUUUGAGUAAAGAAAUUAUACAUAAGCAGGAGUCUCUUGUCAACGUCCAGCGUCUUCUCAUCUUAUUUUCCAUUACAAAUUCUGGGUUGCCUAUGAAGCAUUUUGACCAUUUGAGACAAGGACAGAAUGCAUUGUCAUCCUUUUAAUUCCUGGGGAUCAACCGUAUAACGAUGUUUAAUUUCUAUUUUUUUUUUUUUUUUUUACUCUUUGUCUCGGAGAGAGCUACUCCAAAGCUAUGGAUUUGAGCACAUGGGCUCGCUGAAUAUUCUAGAAUAAGCUGGAUUGCUUAAAAACAGGAGACAAGAAGCAACUGGCUGAAAAUCAAACGUGCUCUGCAACUUGUGGUUGAUGAGACUGACACAGCCAAGUAUUUUUCCUUUUUUACAAUAGCUUUUGGCUCUGCUCAGUGCUCCCUAAUUGAGGGUUGGGUUUCAUAGCAUUUGCAUUUGUUACAUUUAUCACCGGACUUGUGCCUUUUGGUAUAUGGUCCAAUAUUGCAAUGCAUGGCACAAAUAUUGAGUGACU